rnacentral:rRNA from 1 species
GACGAACGCUGGCGGCGUGCUUAACACAUGCAAGUCGAACGAAGAGCGAUGGAAGCUUGCUUCUAUCAAUCUUAGUGGCGAACGGGUGAGUAACGCGUAAUCAACCUGCCCUUCAGAGGGGGACAACAGUUGGAAACGACUGCUAAUACCGCAUACGAUCUAAUCUCGGCAUCGAGGAUAGAUGAAAGGUGGCCUCUACAUGUAAGCUAUCACUGAAGGAGGGGAUUGCGUCUGAUUAGCUAGUUGGAGGGGUAACGGCCCACCAAGGCGAUGAUCAGUAGCCGGUCUGAGAGGAUGAACGGCCACAUUGGGACUGAGACACGGCCCAGACUCCUACGGGAGGCAGCAGUGGGGAAUCUUCCGCAAUGGACGAAAGUCUGACGGAGCAACGCCGCGUGAGUGAUGACGGCCUUCGGGUUGUAAAGCUCUGUUAAUCGGGACGAAAGGCCUUCUUGCGAACAGUUAGAAAGGAUUGACGGUACCGGAAUAGAAAGCCACGGCUAACUACGUGCCAGCAGCCGCGGUAAUACGUAGGUGGCAGGCGUUGUCCGGAAUUAUUGGGCGUAAAGCGCGCGCAGGCGGAUCAGUCAGUCUGUCUUAAAAGUUCGGGGCUUAACCCCGUGAUGGGAUGGAAACUGCUGAUCUAGAGUAUCGGAGAGGAAAGUGGAAUUCCUAGUGUAGCGGUGAAAUGCGUAGAUAUUAGGAAGAACACCAGUGGCGAAGGCGACUUUCUGGACGAAAACUGACGCUGAGGCGCGAAAGCCAGGGGAGCGAACGGGAUUAGAUACCCCGGUAGUCCUGGCCGUAACGAUGGGUACUAAGUGUAGGAGGUAUCGACCCCUUCUGUGCCGGAGUUACGCAUAAGUGCCCCGCCUGGGGAGUACGACCGCACAGUUGAACUCAGAAUUGACGGGGGCCCCCCGCGUGGAAUUGUGGU